rnacentral:rRNA from 1 species
GACGAACGCUGGCGGCGUGCUUAACACAUGCAAGUCGAACGAGACGAUUGAAAGCUUGCUUUCGAAAGUCGAGUGGCAAACGGGUGAGUAACGCGUAGACAACCUGCCUUUGAGAUGGGGACAACAGUUCGAAAGGACUGCUAAUACCGAAUGUUGUAUAUUUUCCACAUGGAAGAUAUAUUAAAGAUGGCCUCUAUUUAUAAGCUAUCGCUCAAAGAUGGGUCUGCGUCUGAUUAGCUAGUUGGUGGGGUAACGGCCUACCAAGGCGACGAUCAGUAGCCGGUCUGAGAGGAUGAACGGCCACAUUGGGACUGAGACACGGCCCAGACUCCUACGGGAGGCAGCAGUGGGGAAUCUUCCACAAUGGACGAAAGUCUGAUGGAGCAACGCCGCGUGAGUGAAGAAGGGUUUCGGCUCGUAAAGCUCUGUUGUCGGGGACGAAUGUGCAGUAUUUGAAUAAAGUACUGUAAUGACGGUACCUGACGAGGAAGCCACGGCUAACUACGUGCCAGCCGCCGCAGUAAUAC